AUUCCUUCAGACCUGAGGAAAAGUGGAAAACUCUUACAAAACUUGCCUGUAAAGUGUUAUGUUGGUCCAGUAAAAAAGGCAUCAUUGCAUACUGCAAUAUUCUGUUAUUUUGGCAUCACCUCUGCUUAAAUGAAUACUCCAAAGUUGAAACCAAAAAAUUCAUUGUACUUACCUUUUUCCUUGACAUUACUCCGUCGUGGAGAGACUGUCAUUGACAACAUUCUCCACUUUCUGUCUGGACAGAAUUGGUGCAUAGGCAACCAUUGCCAGAAAGAAUGCUUCUCCUAGAGCUAGCCUAAUGUUUCCCUAUGGAAGCUCUCAAUUCCACUUUAGUGAUCGUUCAACUGGAGUACUCAGUCGCCGUGAUUCUAGGACUGCAGGCUCUGAGCAGAUCCUUACAGGGUCUCCAUCCAUCUCCCCACACCUAUUUUGAUAGGUGCUGGGCUUUGCACACUGCCCAAACCCGAUCACAGUGUAAUUGGCUGGGAAAGCACGCUUCAUUCAAUAUUACAGGACAAUGUUCCUGUAAUACUGAAAAAAGUCUAUAGAUGGUGGCAACAUACCACUUUUUACCAUUUUAACUAGGAAAGCAAGUAUUGAGCCCCCUAAUCUAUGGACUGAUUGCACUCCCAGAAUCCUUUAACAAGCACCUAGAUAGCCUCGCUCCUCCUUCCCUAUCGCCUCACCCUGCACACUUCAGGCAAAUCAGAUUGUAUAUACAAAGAGGACUUUCCAACUGGAAUGGGUGAGAUCUGCCCAAUAAGGGAUUACAUUGAUACCAAAGCAUUUGGAUCAGGGGCGUACCUAGAGCAUUUGGCACCUGGGGCGGAAAACACACACAAUUUUUUUCAAUAAUAUUUAUUGCACAAAUUUGUAAACUGUAUAUCAACUUGAAAAAAAUGGAACUAUGAAAAAUAAAUUAACUUAGAAAUAAAUUAAAUUUAAAUAAUUAACAUUUACUUAAAGGACCACUCUAGGCGCCCAGACCACUUCAGCUUAAUGAAGUGGUCUGGGUGCCAGGUCCCUCUAGGAUUAACCCUUUUUUUUU